rnacentral:lncRNA from 1 species
AGACGUGCUACCUCUUCCCUUCCUAAACGAAUAUUUACAAUAUUCUUACCAAAUAGAAUUCGGUUGGGGACUGGUUUGAGCGUUUUGAUCAAUGACCGAGGAGUUUCUUUUGAGCUCUGCUUUCGAGACAGCGGUCCUAAGCCAGACUCUCUGGCGUCGGGCACUGAACCCCUCCCGCAGCUGCAAGGCACCUCGGGUAUCCCUGCGCUUCCCACUGCCAAGUGCAACGCGGCGGCGGCGCGUUGGGGUCUUUUCUGCUUUUUACUGAUGUUUGGAGAUUACCCCUCCCCUCCGCCCUUUGCUAGACCAGCUUGGGGCAAGACCAGAUUGUUGUCCAGCUUGGGGCAAGACCGCUGGAAGAGGGCAGCCAGGAGGCCGUUUCCGCGGGCGGGGAUCUACAGGAUUGAAAUGAAAUGUUUUGAGGUCUUCAAGCUGACUCAGGAUCCUGGAGUAUUUUUAAAAUGACGGUAAUUUUCUAAUGUUUAAUUUGUAUAUACGGAAGCACUUGUGUGUGUGCGCGUGUGCGCGCGUGUUUGCGUGUGAGAAACAUGCGGCUGAAUGACAAUGCAGAUCCUGAAAUUGUUUGGGGCAGAGGGUUUGUGCUCUCAAAAUGUAGAUGAAGUUUGAGCAGACUUUGGACACUCGCUGAGAGCCAGAGAGCUUCCAGAGGUGUAGAUGAGAGCUUGGAGAGAUGGCCAGAUUUGCCUGUAAAUAAUCACUACAUCCACUGUAACACUUCAGCUGCAUUUUUUUUUUUUUUUUUUUUUUUUUGGUGGCAGUGUAUUUGAAAGGGGAACGCUCUCCACAAACGUGGGUUACAGGCGUCUCCUAGCGGCGAAAGCAGCACAGGGCAAGCCAAUGCAUUUUGCUCGGGAGCUCUCGUUCGUCAGGACUCGCCUGUUGGGGGCUCUGCAGGCUUUCUUGGGUCUCAGAGGCCUGCAUCCGCGCCGGCGACGCCGUCCCGGGUCCUCUAGAGGUCUCGCCUCUCUGACUUCUAGUCUCCAAGGCGCCCUGAUCUCGGCGGGGUGAAGACGGGGUCUUCCUUCUGGCAGAGCUGACUUGAAUCCCGCGGUCCGCCUUCCUCUAAGUAGCUCCAGCCAACAGCAAUUCGAGAGCAUUUUGUCCCGGGCCAAGAUUCAAAUAUUGGCAUUAACAGCCAUCUCUGCCUCCUUACUCUGAUACCAUUAAAGAGCCCCACCCCGUCACCCAGGAAACACAAUACUUUAAAUCUGACAUUUAAAAAUGUCUCAAAAGUGUAACCUGUGUACUUUCUUCCUUGCUGUAUCAAGCAGAUUUUUUUCCCCUCUCCUUUUCCUUUUUCACUUGUCCUUCGGCGCACCCCAGAAUUUAGUGAGGCCAUGAUUACAUAAAUAACAGUCUCUGUGGUGAGAUCGACGAUUUCUUUGAAGUGCAGAAUUUCUUGCAAUGUAGCAAGAUCGAAUCCACUGGGAGAAGCAAGCAUGCC